rnacentral:rRNA from 1 species
GUAGUCCAUGCCGUAAACGGUGGGCGCUAGGUGUGAGGGUCUUUCUACGACUUUCGUGCCGUAGCUAACGCAUUAAGCGCCCCGCCUGGGGAGUACGGCCGCAAGGCUAAAACUCAAAGGAAUUGACGGGGGCCCGCACAAGCGGCGGAGCAUGUGGAUUAAUUCGAUGCAACGCGAAGAACCUUACCUGGGCUUGACAUACACCAGAUUGGGCUAGAGAUAGUUCGUCCCUUUGUGGUUGGUGUACAGGUGGUGCAUGGUUGUCGUCAGCUCGUGUCGUGAGAUGUUGGGUUAAGUCCCGCAACGAGCGCAACCCUUGUCUUAUGUUGCCAGCAUUUGGUUGGGGACUCAUGAGAGACUGCCAGUGAUAUACUGGA